ACUCCGGAUCUUACUGGGAAGGCUUCUAACUUGACCCCAUUGAAGAUGAUGCUAGCUGAUUGUAUCCUGGAGGGACACCAGAUGGAACCAAAAGACCAUGUUAUUUAAGUCAACGAGUCAAAAACUAAAACCUUAAUUUACAACGAAAAAGUUUUUUUAAAAAAUAAACAAUCUAAAUGACUACUUUCCUGAGCCUGU
rnacentral:lncRNA from 1 species